rnacentral:rRNA from 1 species
CGGUAAUACGUAGGGCGCAAGCGUUAUCCGGAAUUAUUGGGCGUAAAGAGCUCGUAGGCGGUUUGUCGCGUCUGCUGUGAAAUCCCGAGGCUCAACCUCGGGCCUGCAGUGGGUACGGGCAGACUAGAGUGCGGUAGGGGAGAUUGGAAUUCCUGGUGUAGCGGUGGAAUGCGCAGAUAUCAGGAGGAACACCGAUGGCGAAGGCAGAUCUCUGGGCCGUAACUGACGCUGAGGAGCGAAAGGGUGGGGAGCAAACAGGCUUAGAUACCCUGGUAGUCCACCCCGUAAACGUUGGGAACUAGUUGUGGGGUCCUUUCCACGGAUUCCGUGACGCAGCUAACGCAUUAAGUUCCCCGCCUGGGGAGUACGGCCGCAAGGCUAAAACUCAAAGGAAUUGACGGGGACCCGCACAAGCGGCGGAGCAUGCGGAUUAAUUCGAUGCAACG